rnacentral:lncRNA from 1 species
ACUGCAUUCAUUUCGGCCGGCUGGAUUAGGUUCAGGAUAUUGAUAUGUAAAACCCUUUUGUACACAGAUUGCUUGGGUGUUCAUUUGUUUCUGAUAUAUAUGUUUCAGUGUUUGAUUUAUGUUUUGAUGUGUCCAAACGGUGAGAGCGUCGCAGUGAAACAAUAAGCUGCCCAAGGUUUGGCCUUGGCUGAGUUUCAGUUUGGUUAGAAGGCAUAGCGCCUCUCCUUAGUUCAAGAAUCAAGUUGCAAAAACGAGUGCGACGCGACGACUGCUAGUGGCUGCUGACUACUGAAAUCUGCUGAAAGGAAGACUGGAGGGCCUUUAGCAGCAUUAGCAGUGGAACUUGGAAGGCUGCCUUGAGGCUGCCUGGCUGGCCUCUACAACAGAGACGAAGUUUAGAAGUAAUUUGUCAACAAUGUUGUCCAUGCUGCAAGAGGUGGCUGACGAGCACCAACCAGCGUGUGCAGCAGCCGUUCCGUUGUAAACGGUGCGCUGACCGCGGAGCCGGGGGUUGUCGACCGCCGGCUGGCACUCACCACCGUCCACCCCAAGCUGGCCAUCAUCGACUGGCUCGAGAACACCAGCACGCUGAGCCAGUUCAUCAGCUCGACGUGCCCCGACUUCGAGCAGCAGUGCGCUGAGACGCGCGAGCUGUUCACUGGGAGCAGAUGAAGCGACAUGGGACUCAGAGCGGCGCCACUGACGUGCAGCUGCAGCUGAUCGGAAUCGACAGGACACGUGUUCGCGGCUCGGCCACCACUCAUCAGCCUGCUGCUCCUGCCGUUCCGUCUGACGGCGCCGAUGACCGGGCUGGCGGCGUCUCUCGACGCGUCCGGCCACACCCGGCUGCAGGCGCUGCGCUCGUCGCUUUGGGUUGUAAAUGCCGGCGAGCAGUGAGGGUUGCCUCGCUGAGUCGUGUGGGCGCUCCUCACUGUAGAGGUCGCUGUGAGCGCUGUGCUCUUCUUCGACCAGAGGAUAGGUGGCGGUAGCGGUCGGUACGCAGCCAGCAGCGUACUGACACGUCAUAGACCGAUUGAAGGUCUUCAGUGCGUUAUGAAUAUGGCGCGGGUAGCUCGAUUCCGGCGGCGGCGUGACACGGUGACCCCUUGACCUCUAGCCGUGUCGGUCCGUGUGCGCGGCCCAUUCGCCCCCGACUUGGGUUGUCGAUGGCGGCUGCCGGCGCCCUUAACCCUAUUAGUGGCAGGCUCCUGGUAUACCCCUAUUAGUGGCAGGGGGGGGCUGUUUACGACCCCCCCCCCCCCUUGAUAUCUCGAGAUCUAACGGGCCGAUUUUCAAAAUUCAAACGGCAUUCGAUUUCGCUCAACGUGAUCUACAUUUCUAAAAAAUAAAAAUUAAAAAA